AGAGUUUGCUUCAUGGAUAAAAAUUUCCGCACCAUUUCAUAACAAAAGCGGAUUUCUGAUUCUUUUGCUGAGAUAUUUGAUCAUUGUUGUAAAUUUUGACGAAUUGUUCCGGAAAUCGAAAAAGAAGAGAAAUUCAGACUGAAGAAAUAUUGUGAAGAAAGAAAUGGCGAGAAGAAAUAUACAUCAUAAGGCUAAACUUGAACGAGAGGAAAUGCAGAAAGGUCAGAGCUCUCACAAGAAAUGGAAUCACUGGAAAGGAGGAGAUAAUCCUGUGUGUUCAUCUGGGCGAAAUAAUCAGCAAGUAAUUCUAUCCUCUAUGGCUUGUGGUGUCAUUUAUACUUCAAAGAUAAGGGCAAAAAAGGAUAUCUUGAAGGACACAAAAUUCACAGACUUUUUUAGAACUCGGUCUAUUUUUACGGUUAUUUUUCACAUUUUCCAAAUGGAAAUUUAACUUGAAAGUAGGGAUCUCCGAGGGCUAUUUAGUUUGAAUGAAAAUCUCCUUGAAGCUAAAAAUUCGUCAUCAAGUUCAAUUUUGAUGGAAAUGGACAAUAAGAUUAUUGAAAAAUUUGAAAAAGAAAGAAAACAUUAAUUAUAAAGUGUCGAAAAAAUAAUUGUGAACAAAUUUUCAAAAGUUUCGAGUGCAAUUUAAAAUUCGUUUGUUAUAAAAAAAAAAAAAGUUUCGAGUCAGUGCGCGAUUUAAAUUCGUUUGUUAUAAAAAAAAAAGUUUCGAGUCUGUGCGCGAUUUAAAAUGCGUUUGUUAUAAAAAAAAAAAUUGUUCAAAUCAGUGCGCGAAUUCAAAAUACAUAUUUGAAUCAUAAAAAUUGUAGAACAUGUUUUUUUUUAAUUGUAUAAAAAAAGUUUCUAGUUUUUAAUUCUUCGAAAAAUAUUUCUGUUUUUUGGAAUUUCAAUAGUUCAAAUUUUUUUCCAAAUAUUUUAGUAAUAAUUAUAAUUUUUAAUGAUUCAAAUAUUUUAUUUGCGUGUGUUAGUGAGAAGUGUGUGAAAUGAGUGAAGUGCUUCAAAAAUAUUCAGAUGGACUUCGAAAGAGCUGGAAGGACUGGAAGGAAUUUUGUAAGGACAUCAG